rnacentral:piRNA from 1 species
UGAAUUGAAUUGAAAAAUGUG